rnacentral:rRNA from 1 species
CCGGGAAACCGGGGCUAAUACCGAAUGAUAGAAUGUGGCGCAUGCCACGCUUUUGAAAGAUGGUUUCGGCUAUCGCUUACAGAUGGGCCCGCGGUGCAUUAGCUAGUUGGUAGGGUAAUGGCCUACCAAGGCAACGAUGCAUAGCCGACCUGAGAGGGUGAUCGGCCACACUGGGACUGAGACACGGCCCAGACUCCUACGGGAGGCAGCAGUAGGGAAUCUUCCGCAAUGGACGAAAGUCUGACGGAGCAACGCCGCGUGUAUGAAGAAGGUUUUCGGAUCGUAAAGUACUGUUGUUAGAGAAGAACAAGGAUAAGAGUAACUGCUUGUCCCUUGACGGUAUCUAACCAGAAAGCCACGGCUAACUACGUGCCAGCAGCCGCGGUAAUACGUAGGUGGCAAGCGUUGUCCGGAUUUAUUGGGCGUAAAGCGCGCGCAGGCGGUCUUUUAAGUCUGAUGUGAAAGCCCCCGGCUUAACCGGGGAGGGUCAUUGGAAACUGGAAGACUGGAGUGCAGAAGAGGAGAGUGGAAUUCCACGUGUAGCGGUGAAAUGCGUAGAUAUGUGGAGGAACACCAGUGGCGAAGGCGACUCUCUGGUCUGUAACUGACGCUGAGGCGCGAAAGCGUGGGGAGCAAACAGGAUU